rnacentral:rRNA from 1 species
AGAGUUUGAUCAUGGCUCAGAUUGAACGCUGGCGGCAGGCCUAACACAUGCAAGUCGAGCGCGAACGUUCCUUCGGGAAUUAUUAGAGCGGCGGACGGGUGAGUAACGCGUGGGAAUCUACCUAGUAGUGGGGGACAACCAGUGGAAACGCUGGCUAAUACACCGCAUACGUCCUAUGGGAGAAAGCGGGGGAUCUUCGGACCUCGUGCUAUUAGAUGAGCCCGCGUGAGAUUAGAUAGUUGGUGGGGUAAUGGCCUACCAAGUCGACGAUCUCUAGCUGGUCUGAGAGGAUGAUCAGCCACACUGGAACUGGAACACGGACCAGACUCCUACGGGAGGCAGCAGUGAGGAAUAUUGGACAAUGGGGGCAACCCUGAUCCAGCCAUGCCGCGUGUGUGAAGAAGGCCUUAGGGUUGUAAAGCACUUUCAGUAGGGAGGAAAGGUUGUUGGUUAAUAGCCAUCAGCUGUGACGUUACCUGCAGAAGAAGCACCGGCUAACUCCGUGCCAGCAGCCGCGGUAAUACGGAGGGUGCGAGCGUUAAUCGGAAUUACUGGGCGUAAAGCGCGCGUAGGCGGCCUGAUAAGUUGGAUGUGAAAGCCCUGGGCUCAACCUAGGAACUGCAUUCAAAACUGUCAGGCUAGAGUAUGGUAGAGGAUAGUGGAAUUUCCGGUGUAGCGGUGAAAUGCGUAGAGAUCGGAAGGAACAUCAGUGGCGAAGGCGACUACCUGGACUGAUAUUGACGCUGAGGUGCGAAAGCGUGGGGAGCAAACGGGAUUAGAUACCCCGGUAGUCCACGCCGUAAACGAUGUCUACUAGCCGUUGGGAGACUUGAUCUCUUAGUGGCGCAGCUAACGCGAUAAGUAGACCGCCUGGGGAGUACGGUCGCAAGAUUAAAACUCAAAUGAAUUGACGGGGGCCCGCACAAGCGGUGGAGCAUGUGGUUUAAUUCGAAGCAACGCGAAGAACCUUACCCGCUCUUGACAUCCACAGAAGCCAGUAGAGAUACAGGUGUGCCUUCGGGAACUGUGAGACAGGUGCUGCAUGGCUGUCGUCAGCUCGUGUUGUGAAAUGUUGGGUUAAGUCCCGUAACGAGCGCAACCCUUGUCCUUAUUUGCCAGCACGUAAUGGUGGGAACUCUAAGGAGACUGCCGGUGACAAACCGGAGGAAGGUGGGGACGACGUCAAGUCAUCAUGGCCCUUACGAGCGGGGCUACACACGUGCUACAAUGGCCAGGACAAACGGUUGCAACCCCGCGAGGGCAAGCUAAUCUGAGAAACCUGGUCGUAGUCCGGAUCGCAGUCUGCAACUCGACUGCGUGAAGUUGGAAUCGCUAGUAAUCGUAGAUCAGCAUGCUACGGUGAAUACGUUCCCGGGCUUUGUACACACCGCCCGUCACACCAUGGGAGUGGAUUGCACCAGAAGUAGCUAGCUUAACCUCUUGCAGAGGACGGUCACCACUUUGUGAUUCAUGACUGGGGUGAAGUCGUAACAAGGUA